rfam:Alcanivorax dieselolei B5, complete genome.
GGUGUAACGCUAGACUCUCCCGCCUUUCGGCGCCAGAGACUGGCGAUACCGCUUUGUGAAUCGGAGAUAUUCGGAUGGCCCGUAUUGCAGGCGUAAACAUCCCGGAC